UCAAGCUAAAAAGAGCGCAAGGGGAAUGCCUUGGCAUCAGGAGCCGAAGAAGGACGUGACAAGCUGCGAUAAGCUGCGGUGAGGAGCAAAUAUCCUUUGACCCGCAGAUCUCCGAAUGGGGCAACCCGGCUGGACAAUAUCCAGUCAUCCUGCAUUGAACAAAAUAGGUGUAGGAAGGGAACCGUCUGAACUGAAACAUCUAAGUAGGACGAGGAAGAGACAUCAACCGAGAUUCCGCAAGUAGUGGCGAGCGAACGCGGAGGAGGCCAAACCGGAGGAAUAAUUCUCCGGGGUUGCGGACAGUCAUUUAGCAGAAGAUAUCUAACCGAAGGGUCUGGGAAGGCCCACCACAGAGGGUGAGAGUCCCGUAGGUGAAAGAGAAGGCUGUGAGACUGAAUCCAGAGUACCGCAGGACACGUGAAACCCUGCGGGAAACAGGGGGGACCACCCUCCAAGCCUAAAUACUACCUGAUGACCGAUAGAGGAGCAGUACCGUGAGGGAAAGGUGAAAAGGACCCCGGGAGGGGAGUGAAAGAGAACCUGAAACCUUGUGCUUACAAGCAGUCAAAGCGCGUUAAAGCGUGAUGACGUACUUUUUGUAGAACGGUCCGGCGAGUUAUAGUAACGAGCAAGCUUAAGGUAUUGAGUACCGGAGGCGAAGCGAGAGCGAGUCUGAAUAGGGCGUUUAAGUUCGUUGCCAUAGACCCGAAACCGGGUGACCUAUCCAUGAGCAGGCUGAAGUGAGAGUAAAAUCUCAUGGAGGGCCGAACCGACCCCCGUUGCAAUGGUGGCGGAUGACUUGUGGAUAGCGGAGAAAUUCCAAUCGAACUCGGAGAUAGCUGGUUCUCCCCGAAAUAGCUUUAGGGCUAGCGUUAUUUUAGAUUACCGGAGGUAAAGCACUGAAUGGUCUAGGGGCCGCGAGGUUACCAAAGCCUAUCAAACUCUGAAUGCCGGAUAAUUGAUGAAUAGCAGUCAGACUGUGUGAGAUAAGUCUCAUAGUCAAAAGGGAAACAGCCCAGAUCUACAGCUAAGGUCCCAAAUGAACACUAAGUGGAAAAUGAUGUGAAACUGCGAAGACAACCAGGAUGUUGGCUUAGAAGCAGCCACUCAUUCAAAGAGUGCGUAAUAGCUCACUGGUCGAGUGGUUUUGCGCAGAAAAUGUAACGGGGCUAAGUGUUCAACCGAAGCUUAGGCAUUGCAGUAAUGCAUUGGGUAGGGGAGCGUCGUAUGCGGGGCGAAGUCAGAGCGGAAGCACUGGUGGACUGCAUACGAGUGAGAAUGCCGGAAUAAGUAGCGAGAAUUAUGUGAGAAUCAUAAUGGCCGAAAAUCUAAGGUUUCCUGGGGAAGGUUCGUCCGCCCAGGGUUAGUCGGGAGCUAAGCUCAGGCCGAAAGGCGUAGGCGAUGCACAUACGGUAGAAAUUCCGUAACCACCGAACUUUAAGCUAGAGGGACGCUUUCUUUAAGGUUAUCCCGGGCGAUGGUUGCCCCGGGCGCAAGGGACCGAAAUUUAGUAGGGAAGUAACUGGCGAGAGAGACGAGAAAAGCUCUAGUGUAUACUAAGGUGCCCGUACCGCAAACCGACACAGGUAGAAGGGAUGAGUAUUCUAAGGCCAACGGGAGAAGGGUUGUUAAGGAACUCGGCAAAUUGGCCCCGUAACUUCGGGAUAAGGGGCGCCUGCGAGAGCAGGCCGCAGUGAAAAGGCCCAAGCGACUGUUUAGCAAAAACACAGCUCUCUGCUAAAUCGAAAGAUGACGUAUAGGGGGUGACGCCUGCCCGGUGCUGGAAGGUUAAGGGGAGUGCUUAGCGCAAGCGAAGGUGCGAACUUAAGCCCCAGUAAACGGCGGCCGUAACUAUAACGGUCCUAAGGUAGCGAAAUUCCUUGUCAGGUAAGUUCUGACCCGC
rnacentral:rRNA from 1 species